GGGGUCGGCUACAGGAGCGCUAGGAGCCUAGGAGUGGAACACGAUUUCCUCGAAUCUAGCCGAGGCCUCUGCUUUUUUCGUCAUCUUCCAUCGGUCCAAGCUGCUAUUGUUCGCUCCGUCGGCUUGCAGUUGCUUCUGGAGCGUGCUUCAGAUUCAUUGUGCCUCCUUCCAAUGUGCUAAGAAAACUUGAGGUUCAUGAUUUGCUCUUGGAUCAAACUGAAAAUUAAUUUCAGUUGAAGAAUUAGUAGCAUGUAUCCUCUGAUUACCAACAGGGAAGAACUGCUCCAGUCGAAGAGCAGACAUUAUUCAUUGUGCCAACAGACUGCCUGGAAAGGAAGAAAUCGUAUGAAGUACAUCAGCACCCAUCUUAUCACCAGUUGGGGGAUUGUUUUUUCUCUCCUCGUCAACAAAGCUUGCAUCAGGCGG
rnacentral:rRNA from 1 species